rnacentral:rRNA from 1 species
GUAUGUGCCAAGUUCAAACGUUAUACGUGAGACUGCGGACGGCUCAGUAAAUCAGUGAUAAUCUGUUUGAUUUUCUCUCCCCAUUGGAUAACCGUGGGAAAUCUAGAGCUAAUACGUGCGGUACAUUGGCGUGCUCUCGGGUACGUCAAAGCAUUUAUUAGACUAAACCAACUACUAUGCUCACGCAUAGUAAGGGGAAUCUGGAUAACUUUGCUGAUCGUAUGGCCUAGCGCCGGCGACGUUUCAAUUGAGUUUCUGCCCUAUCAACUUGUUGGUAAGGUAUUGGCUUACCAAGGUUGCAACGGGUAACGGGGAAUCAGGGUUCGAUUCCGGAGAGGGAGCCUGAGAAACGGCUGCCACAUCCAAGGAAGGCAACAGGCGCGCAAAUUACCCAAUCUAGACAGUAGGAGGUGGUGAAGAGAAUUACUAAAUGGUGGUCCUAUGGAUCACUUGUUUGGAAUGAACGUAACUUAAGAAAUUCGAUGAUAAACAACUGGAGGGCAAGUCCUGGUGCCAGCAGCCGCGGUAAUUCCAGCUCCAGUAGUUUGCUUUAAAGUUGUUGCGUUUAAAACGCUCGUAGUUGGAUCACGCAGUAAUGCUCAGUAAUCUUUUGUGUCGCUAGCCCGUGGUUCGUUUCUAACGGCCAUAGUGGUCAGCGUGCAUUAGAUAUUACGCUGGGCGUUACUAGUUGCACGUGAGAUAGAUUGUUGGCCUUGAAUGCGCCGAUAUUCUCGUCUUGCGGGGUGUGCCUUGAAUAAAACAGAGUGCUCAAAGCAGGUUAUUGCCUGAAUGUUAAAGCAUGGAACGAACAAUCGUGUAUAUGUGCGUGCUGUUAAUUGGUUGUGAGCCUAUGGUUUGCAGUCGUUGGCGGCGCGCACGGCACCCACCAAAAUAUGGCUGUUGGUUCCAUAUCCGGUGAUGAUUAACAGGAGCGGUUGGGGGCAUCAGUAUUUGGCCGCGAGAGGUGAAAUUCUUAGACCGGCCAAGGACUAACAAAUGCAAAGGCACUUGUCUAGACCGUUUCCAUUAAUCAAGAACGAAAGUGGGAGGUUCGAAGACGAUCAGAUACCGUCGUAGUUCCCACCGUAAACUAUGCCGACCUGGGAUCAGUCUAGAGAUGUUACAAGCUCUAGGUUGGUCCCCCUGGGAAACCUCAAGUUUUUCGGUUACGGGGAGAGUAUGGUCGCAAGGCUGAAACUUAAAGGAAUUGACGGAAGGGCACCACCAGGGGUGGAGCCUGCGGCUUAAUUUGACUCAACACGGGGAAACUUACCUGGUCCGGACAUCGAUAGGAUUAUCAGACUAAUGGCUCUUAUAUGAUCCGAUGAGUGGUGGUGCAUGGCCGUUCUUAGUUCGUGGAGUGAUCUGUCAGCUUAAUUGCGGUAACGAACGAGACCACAGUCACCAUUUAAAAAAUAGAAGAAGGCACGCGGAAGGUUGGCGCAAGUCGGUCGGCUGCGUGCUGCAGGUAGAAUGUGGUGCUGGGAUGAUUGGCGUGAUGGGGUAACUUGUUGCGUUUGUUACCUAGCGCUGCAUUUCUCCCUUCUAUUACGCGGCAGUUGGUCUCGGCUGGCUGUCGCCUUAUGGUGAGACAACGAGGUAUAAACAAGCUCGAGGAAGAGUGGCUAUAACAGGUCAGUGAUGCCCUUCGAUGUUCAGGGCUGCACGCGCGCUACCAAUGAUAACGACAACGAGUGUCUGCGUCGAAAGACGUGGGUAAUCUUUAAGCGUUAUCGUGAUGGGGAUUGACCGUUGCAAUUGUCGGUCAUGAAAGAGGAAUCCCUAGUAUGCGCAUUUUAUUAGAAUGUGCAGAUUGAGUCCCUGCCCUUUGUACACACCGCCCGUCACUACUACCGAGUGAAUGGUGUCAUGAUGCGCUGGGACUGGACGUUAGAUGGGUUUCACGACUCGUCCGAUGCUGGGAUCAGCGUAAAAUGGCGCAAUCGAG